AUGUGCAGCCUUCUCAUUCUGCUUUUCACACUGAUAGGUGACAGUUUUCAAGCUGACAUCACUUCAACCUCUACAGAACUUCUUGUCUCAGAGGGUGAAACAGCUUCUCUCUCCUGCACAUACAGUGUUGCUGUGGACAAUCUGCAAUGGUAUCGCCAGAAUCCAGGAUCUAAACCAGAAUUCAUCAUCAUGUUGUUUGAAUCCAACAGUGAUCCAGUGAAAUCAACUCCUCCUCAUCCUCGUGCCUCUGGUAAAGUGGAUAAAGACUCUAAACAGGUUCAUCUGAAUAUCUCAUCUGCUGAAGUCUCAGACUCUGCUGUCUACUACUGCGCUCUGAGGCCCACAGUGACAGGAAACCCUACAACACUGUACAAAAACUAA